rnacentral:rRNA from 1 species
AUUGAACGCUGGCGGCAGGCCUAACACAUGCAAGUCGAACGAAUGGCGGACGGGUGAGUAAUGUCUGGGAAACUGACUGAUGGAGGGGGAUAACUACUGGAAACGGUAGCUAAUACCGCAUACCAUCGGAUGUGCCCAGAUUGGAUUAGCUAGUAGGUGGGGUAAAGGCUCACCUAGGCGACGAUCCCUAGCGGGUCUGAGAGGAUGACCAGCCACACUGGAACUGAGCCACGGUCCAGACUCCUACGGGAGGCAGCAGUGGGGAAUAUUGCACAAUGGGCGCAAGCCUGAUGCAGCCAUGCCGCGUGUAUGAAGAAGGUCUUCGGAUUGUAAAGCACUUUAAGUUGGGAGGCGUUACCAACAGAAUAAGCACCGGCUAACUUCGUGCCAGCCGCCGCGGUAAUAC